rnacentral:lncRNA from 1 species
UGGACACUGACAUUGCCUGUUCCCUCUCCCACAUCUAUUCUCUCCUUUAGUCCCCAGACAGAUAUCGCCCUGUACAGAUGACUUUCCCAGGGGCCUCCUCCCUAAGCCGACUUCUCCCUAAAGCCCUCGACGGGUACAGUCCACCUGCCAGCUAGGUACCUCCACCUUGGUUCCAACAGGAAUCCCUCCCUUGGCACAAGCAAACCAUCAUUCUCCCUCCCAACUCAGGUCCCCAAGCAGCAGCCCCACAAAUCCUGACUAUGGUGUAGACCACAAACCCCAUCUGAGCCUUCCCACCACGUCCACCCCACAGGUAAAGUCAAGGCCUACUUCCCAGCACACCUUGAGCCCCAGGGCUUCUCAGCACCUGACCAGCACGGCCACAUCUGAGCAUUUCAUCUCAGACUGGACUACUGCAACCCCAGCCUGCUGCCCUGGCCUGGGCCAGGAGUUCACCUCUGGACCACAGCCUUGAUGAUCUACAGCACCCAUCAGAUCACACCACUCCUGUAUUCAUGGAGUGCCACAAACCCAGUGGUGCAAAAAACUGCUUGUUUCUCCCAGUUCAGGAGGCCAGAAGUCCAGAACCCAGGUAUCCACAAGGUUGGCUCCUUCUGGAGACCCCGGGGAACAAGGGUCCCGGGGCUCCCUUGGUGUUUCCAGGCUCACAGACAUCACUCCCUCCACCAUCAGGUUCCCUUCUCUGUAGGACUCUGUGUGCCCUUGUCUGUCUCUCCUGAGGACACUCUCCAGGGACUCAGAGCCCACCCUAAUCCAGGAUGACUUCAUCUCCAUCUUUACUUUACUACAUCUGCAAAGACCCUGUUUCCAGACAAGGGCACGUGCUGAGGUUCCCAGUGAACAUGCGUCUUGGAGGUCACCGUUCAGCUCACUGCAGCUCUCCUGGUCACCUGGGAAGGUCCCCACCAGACGGGAGGUUCAAGGUCAGUAGAUCCAGCACAGCUCUUGCCCUCCAGCACCCAUGAUCCCCAACUUUGGGGAGUCAGCUUUACAGGGGUGCCAAAGUGGUGUGUGUUCAGUAGGAGCCAUGAUUCACAUUCUGAAUCCUGAGCUUUUCCUGGACCAGUGGUAACAAGAUCAGCAGUGAGCGCCAGUCAGCCUCUCAGUCACGGGGUACUGUUGCUAGGUGUGCCCUGAGUGGGUAGGUGUGUUAGCACUUGUUUCUCUUAUGGCAUUUUCAACUGCAGAUGGGUUUCCUGGGUCCUCACCCCAUGGUAAGUCCAGAAACAAAAGCAAAAUGGUUUGUAUUUUUGCCUCAUUUAAUGCAUCUGGCAAAUAAAUAUAAAAAUAAUACAAUAAAUGUUUAAAAAUAUUUCUUUAUGAAAAAUGAAUAUAUUUGCUUUAUAUCUCAUAGAAUUGUUUGAAAAAUAAAUAAUGACAAUUAAAGCUAAGAAAUGGGUUAUGUUAAUCUGUCAUACCUUGGUGUAAACAAGAUUUUAAAAACUAAUUACUUUGUUGAGUGUUCUCCUGUUGUACAUACAACUAUAGGAGUUUGCCUUUUCUGAAAAUAAAUGAUUUAUCUCAGAUUUUUUUUUAAAAAAAUCUUCCCAGUGGCUUCUUCUUGCAACAAGAAAAAAAUCCAAACUCCUACAAAGUCCCUGGGACCUAACACCUGCCCCACCCGUGACCUCAUCUCCCUCUCCCUGCCUCCCUGACCACAGUCCAGCUGCUCAGGCUCCCUUCCUUCCCUGGAGCAGGCCCAGGUGUUCCUGGCUGGGCCUUGGCCUUCCGUUCCUGGCCCUUGAAGCACCCACUUUCCAGCCAUUCUCAUGGCUACCACUUCACCAUGCAGAUGGCUGCAAGAAAUGGCUCAGCAACAGACGCUUCCUGACCGUUCUGGAUAAAGCAACCACCACCCCACCAUUACCUCAUUGCACAACUUUGUCUGUGACACUUACUGUCUGAAAUGACCUCACUUGUUGUGAACUUGCUGUGACUCUCAGGAGAAGCUCAGCCCCUCGCAGGGCCCUGUCCUUUUUGCUUGGAGCAGUGCUUUGCCCUUAGUAAGCGCGCACGUUAAGACAAGUGGUUGGCGCACUCGACAUUCGUGCCAUUGGCACAGUGACAUUCAUUGCAAGGGGAAGCUACCCUUCUGUGAUGCAGAAGCCGGAACACUAAAAACCACACUUCCCAGACUCCCCUGCAGCCAAAGUCCCAGGUGCAAUUUAAAUUCCUCUAGCAAUAGGCAGUCGCGCAAGAUCUGAAUUUAGACCUGGCUCAGUGGGGAGAGAGGGAGGGCAUGAGGCAUCCACUUUGGGGGUGCAGACGAGAGCAGGUGUCAGGCAGCUUUAGGUGAGUGGCCAGCUCCCUGGUGGUGGCAGGAGCAUCAGCUCUUGGUGGCCUCGUCCCUGGAAGCUCAACUAGAACCUGUCCUUACAACAGUUUUACUAGCUAUGUGAUGUCUCCCCUUCAUUUUCUUUUAUGAGUGUAUCUAUGAUGGAAUUUAUGAGCCCAGAAAAUCCAGAAUCAUCUCCCAUCUGAAGAUUAUUAACUUAAUCAUAUCUGCAAAGUCCUUUUUAUCCAAAUAAGCUAAAGGGCUUUAUCCUUUCAGAUACUAUAACAAAUUCAUAAACUGGGUGGCUUAUAAGCAACAGAAAUUCAUUUCUCACAGGCUAGAAGUUCAAGAUCAAGGUGCAGGAGAUUUGGUUCUGCUGAAGGCCUGCUUCCUGGUUCUAGAUGCUGCUCCCUUCCUCUGCCCUCCCCUGGUAGGAAGGACAGCUCUCCACGUGUCUUUUAGGAGGACAGUAACCCCACCAGGAGAACUCUGCCUCAUCUCCCUUCUCCUAAGAUUGUCACCUUGGAGACUUAGAAUUUCAAAGUAUAAACUGGGGUAGGGGAUUUUGUCAGUAAUAUCUAUAGGUUUCAGGGACUUGGGGGCAAUUGUCCAGCCUGCUACAAAAGCCUUGCUUUGUUCUGAGACCCUUCCUAGCUUUCUGCACCACUGGCCACUGAGAAUGCCCACACCUAACCUUACCUCCAUUUAUUCCUCUGAGGAGAUCUGACCCCAGGGAGGAGAGUAGGGAGGAGGAAAAGAGCUCAUACUGUGGCUUCCAGAUGCCAUCUGUCAGGAGCACUAAAAGUGGGUGAACCAAGCUAUGGCCAGGUGGUCUAUACACAGCUGAGAGUAGAAAAUGAAUAACCAAAUUGCUGGAACAGACAGAAUGUCCUCCAAUGUUUCUGAUAGGCCAAGAGGGAGACGAGUGCUUGGCUUGCCCACCCCAGUGGGCGGGUGUGUUGGGCCUGAUGUGCUCUUAGGAAAGGGCCACCUCUCAGUUGAGGGCUAGUGUCUCAGGACAACUACAGCCAGCCUCACCCACUUUUAAGACCAACAAGGGGGAAAGAAGUUGUGAGCUAAAAUGAGAGCUGUGGUUGCAGGAACAGAGGGCUGCCUGGACCCCACAGGUUUCAACCAAGAUCAAGAGGCCGGGCCUGAUGCGCACACCUGCAAUCCCAGCAACUCAGAAGACUGAGGCAGGAGGCCUGCAAGUCCAAAGCCAGCCUCAGAAACUCAGCAAGGCCAUGAGCAACUUGCAGGACCCUGACUCAAAAUAAUAAUAAUAAAUUAAAAGAGCUGGGGAUGUGGCUCAGAAGUUAAGUGUCCCUGGGUUCAAUCUCCAGUACAAAGAGAGAGAGAGAGAGAGAGAGAGAGAGGAAAGAAGUAAAGAGAUGCAGCAAUUUUCUGGAUAAAUUAAACAAAAUCCAAAAGAGGUGAUAGGACUUAAGAACCUUCUAGCCAAGGGCAGUUGUCUACACCAUUAACCCCCCUGGACAAUCACUCAAGCCUUCUGGUGCAUGGGAAAGCAAGGGCAAACAGAGGGUGAGUGGGUCUAAAGAGCCUGCAUCACUUCCCAUCUCAUCAGCCAUCUGAUAUUAAGCCAAGCUGGUGGGAACAAAAUAAGAGUGUUCAAGUGGUGGCUGUGUGCAUCGGGGAACUAAAGGGCAUUAAGCAGACUUGCUCUUUCUAACUGGUGAAUUAAAUGCUGACAUCAGCACCAGGCUGUCUGGCAAGUUGUGCAGCAUUCAUUCAUUCAUUCAUUUGAUCACCGCUAAAGAAGCACCUGGGACAUGUAGAUUAAUCAAAAAAAAAAAAAAAAAAAAAGACCCUCACUCCGAGGAGUGUACAGUCUGGUAAAAGGAGUAGAACAUAUUCAUAAAUAACUCAUUCGACCUUACCAAUGCACCCAUGAGUCAGCCACUCAGGCUUCCAUUUUAUGGACGAUAAAUCCCAGGUUCACAGUGUUUGAACACCUUCUAGAGGCACAGUGACAGAGCCUCAAUUUGAACAACGUCUCUCACUGCUGAAAUUCACAGUUUUGUUUUGUUUUUUUUAAACAGGACUCAAAGCUUUUCUUAAAGAGGACGCCUUGAACUGGCCCUUUAAAGCCUAUGGGAUUUGAACGAGAGGAGAUGAAAGGAAAGAGCGUGGUGUGGAGGGAAGAAAUGAGAGUGGGAGGCAGUCGUGAUAUUAGCAGUCAUGGGCAAUGAGAAGAAAGAGGAAGUCUGUGGAUGGAAAGUGUGAGCUCAACCUUUUAAAAUGUUUUUUGAAGGACUCGUAGGUCAUGCAGACAGAAAAACCAGCCGUCAUUCAGAAAUGCAAAAUUGAGACCCUGGCAAGAGGCCUGAGCCAGAUAUUUAGAUCUGAGUAUCCACACACAAACGGAGCUGUGGGAGCCACCAAUUUACCAAAGCAGGGGGGUCUCGUCAGAGGAGCAGUGAGAGGAGGAAAGAAGAGAACCAGGAGCAGGACACCCUACCUUAGGACGUGGAAGAGAGGAGCAGAAGGUGGGAAAGAAUGAGUGGGCAGGCGGCUCCGAAAGCCGAGCAUCCUUGAAGCCAAGUGAGGAGAGAAUUCCAGAGAAAGGGGCACACAGCACAGCCAUGAUGAGCUCUGCACCAAGACCAAAGAGAGUGGGGACUGAGAAAAAUCCCACCGGAGGGGCAACUGGGGUGUUUUUGGUGACCUUUAAAGCAGUGUGCACAUCAUAGUAAAAUUGCUGAAAAUGAGAGCAAAGGGAAACAUCUUAAGUGAGAGGAGAAGAGGCAGAUUGUGGUCACAGGAACCACAGUUAGACAGCUGAUGUCUCAAACAGUUAAAUAUAAAAGAUAACAGAAAAGUCUUAACAUGCUGAAAAUGAAUGACUGUCAACCUAAAAUUUUAUGCUCCCCGCCAAUUCUUCAAGAAUGAAGAUGAAUUAAAGAAAUUUACAAAACCCAAAUCAGCAUAUUUAUCACUCACAUUAAAGGGAAGACUGUUUUUCAAGACCAAGGAAAAUAGCUGCAGUUGGAAAGCAAAAGACACAGAAGGAAAUAAAUAUUUUUUUUAAAAGCAAGUAUAGAGCUGGGUGUUGUGGCACACACCUGUAAUCCCAGCUACUCAGGAGGCUGAGGCAGGAGGAUCCCAUGAGCCUGGGAAUUUGAGGUCAACCUGGGCAUCACUGCAAGAUCCUGCCUCAAAAGAAGGAGAAGGAAGAGGAGGAGGAGAAAGUAUUUAGGUAAAUAUAAAUGGACAGUGACCAAAUUUUUUUUUUUAAUUUUGUCAUGUUAAAAACAUACAUUGCUUAGGGCUGGGUUUUUGGCUCAGUGGUAGAGUGGCUUGCUUGGCAUGCAUCAGGCACUGGGUUCAAUCCUCAGC